UUCGCAAUGCCCGAAAGGGUGACAAUGCGACGCCGCGUGUGCGAUGAAGGUUUUCGGAUUGUAAAGCACUGUCAGCUGGGAGGAAUCUCUGGAGGCUUAACAAGUCUUCAGGGUGACAGUACCAGCAGAGGAAGCCACGGCUAAAUCCGUGCCAGCAGCCGCGGUAAUACGGAUGGAGCGAGCGUUGUUCGGAUUCACUGGGCAUAAAGCGCAUGUAGGCGGCCUUGAAAGUCAGGUGUGAAAGCCCCCGGCUCACCCGGGGAACUGCAUUUGAUACUGCUUGGCUUGAGUGAAGAAGGGGAGAGUGGAACUGCUGGUGGAGCGGUAAAAUGCGUAGAUAUCAGCAGGAACGCCGGUGGAGAAGUCGACUCUCUGGUCUUUAACUGACGCUGAGAUGCGAAAGCUAGGGGAGCAAACGGGAUUAGAUACCCCGGUAGUCCUAGCCGUAAACGAUGGGCACUAAGUAGAGGGGUUUU
rnacentral:rRNA from 1 species